GAGGCCUAAUUUGAACUCAGGUCCUCCUGACUCCAAGAACAAGGUAGCUCCCCUCCAGAUAAAGAUACCUGUCGUGGAAGUGGAAGGAAGUAGAAGAAAGCAGAAUUGGAACCUUUCUCUCACCAUAGGAAUGAUAAAAGCACCUGCUUCAGCUGCCGUCAUUCAUGAC